rnacentral:rRNA from 1 species
UACGGGGGGAGCAAGCGUUGCUCGGAUUUACUGGGCGUAAAGGGCGCGUAGGCGGCCAGCACAAGUCAGUUGUGAAAUCUCCGGGCCUAACUCGGAAAGGUCAACUGAUACUGUGCGGCUAGAGUGCGGAAGGGGCAACUGGAAUUCUCGGUGUAGCGGUGAAAUGCGUAGAGAUCGGGAAGAAUACCAGUGGCGAAGGCGUUCUGCUGGGCCGUUGCUGACACUGAGGCGCGACAGCGUGGGGAGCAAACAGG